CUGCCCGAGACAAAGGAUGCGCUCAGAGCCCCACCACACCUGGAGCCACGCUUUGAAGGAUCUGCCAAGCUCACUUUUAAUCGGGAGAACGAAAUUACCCACAUGGAGUCAGCAGAAAAUGAGAAAGUAGAGCUCGUGCUGCGAAUCAUUCCAGCAAGUGCCAAGGGGCUAGUUGAGGAAUGGCUUCGUGAGG
rfam:Vicugna pacos cont1.116080, whole genome shotgun sequence.